rnacentral:rRNA from 1 species
GACGAACGCUGGCGGCGUGCUUAACACAUGCAAGUCGAACGGUGACCCAGGGCUUGCCCUGGUGAUCAGUGGCGAACGGUGAGUAACACGUGGGCAACCUGCCCCUGACUUCGGGAUAACUCCUCGAAAGAGGAGCUAAUACCGGAUACGACCACUUCGGACAUCCGAUGGUGGUGGAAAGUUUUUCGGUCAGGGAUGGGCCCGCGGCCUAUCAGCUAGUUGGUGGGGUAAUGGCCUACCAAGGCGACGACGGGUAGCCGGCCUGAGAGGGCGACCGGCCACACUGGGACUGAGACACGGCCCAGACUCCUACGGGAGGCAGCAGUGGGGAAUAUUGCGCAAUGGGCGAAAGCCUGACGCAGCGACGCCGCGUGAGGGAUGAAGGCCUUCGGGUUGUAAACCUCUUUCAGCAGGGACGAAGCGAAAGUGACGGUACCUGCAGAAGAAGACACCGGCUAACUACGUGCCAGCAGCCGCGGUAAU